rnacentral:rRNA from 1 species
CCUACGGGAGGCAGCAGUGGGGAAUAUUGGGCAAUGGGCGCAAGCCUGACCCAGCAACGCCGCGUGAAGGAAGAAGGCUUUCGGGUUGUAAACUUCUUUUCUCAGGGACGAAGAAAGUGACGGUACCUGUGGAAUAAGCCACGGCUAACUACGUGCCAGCAGCCGCGGUAAUACGUGGGUGGCAAGCGUUAUCCGGAUUUAUUGGGUGUAAGGGGCGUGUAGGCGGGAGGGCAAGUCAGAUGUGAAAACUCAGGGCUCAACCCUGAGCCUGCAUUUGAAACUGUGUUUCUUGAGUGCUGGAGAGGCAAUCGGAAUUCCGGGUGUAGCGGUGAAAUGCGUAGAUAUACGGAGGAACACCAGUGGCGAAGGCGGAUUGCUGGACAGUAACUGACGCUGAGGCGCGAAAGCGUGGGGAGCAAACAGGAUUAGAUACCCGAGUAGUC